AACUUUGAGUAGUAGAUCAUUCGGCUCGUGUGUCGAUGAAGAAUGCAGUCAACUUUAUGAAUAAAUAUAAACUGCAUACCGCUAUGAACAUCGACAUCUUGAACGUAUAUUUUGCCUACGAGUUAUCCUGUAGCCAAGUCUAUCUGAUGGUCC
rnacentral:rRNA from 1 species